rnacentral:misc_RNA from 1 species
UUGUUUCUUUUUGUAAACAUCGACAUGCAAAAGCAUUCAAGCAUAAAUGCGGCGACCUCUCGGAGAGAAGUCGCCGAAACACGGGUUUAUGAUCCACAUGGUUUGAGGGUUGAAGGCCAAAAGAGGCCAUUCGUUAAUGAUCCCUCCGCAGGUUCACCUACGGAGA